AGAGUUUGAUCCUGGCUCAGGAUGAACGCUGGCGGCGUGCUUAACACAUGCAAGUCGAACGAACCUUCGGGUUAGUGGCGGACGGGUGAGUAACGCGUGAGAAUCUGCCCUCAGGAGGGGGAUAACAGUUGGAAACGACUGCUAAUACCCCAUAUGCCGAGAGGUGAAAUGAAUUUCGCCUGGGGAUGAGCUCGCGUCUGAUUAGCUUGUUGGUGGGGUAAUAGCCUACCAAGGCUUCGAUCAGUAGCUGGUCUGAGAGGACGAUCAGCCACACUGGGACUGAGACACGGCCCAGACUCCUACGGGAGGCAGCAGUGGGGAAUUUUCCGCAAUGGGCGAAAGCCUGACGGAGCAACGCCGCGUGAGGGAUGGAGGCCUUUGGGCUGUAAACCUCUUUUCUCAAGGAAGAAGAUCUGACGGUACUUGAGGAAUAAGCCACGGCUAAUUCCGUGCCAGCAGCCGCGGUAAUACGGGAGUGGCAAGCGUUAUCCGGAAUUAUUGGGCGUAAAGCGUCCGCAGGCGGCCGUUUAAGUCUGUUGUUAAAUCGUGGAGCUCAACUCCAUCACGGCAAUGGAAACUGUUCGGCUUGAGUAUGGUAGGGGCAGAGGGAAUUUCCGGUGUAGCGGUGAAAUGCGUAGAUAUCGGGAAGAACACCAGUGGCGAAAGCGCUCUGCUGGGCCAUUACUGACGCUCACGGACGAAAGCCAGGGGAGCGAAAGGGAUUAGAUACCCCUGUAGUCCUGGCCGUAAACGAUGAACACUAGAUGUUGGGGGAAUCGACCCCCUCGGUGUCGUAGCUAACGCGUUAAGUGUUCCGCCUGGGGAGUACGCACGCAAGUGUGAAACUCAAAGGAAUUGACGGGGGCCCGCACAAGCGGUGGAGUAUGUGGUUUAAUUCGAUGCAACGCGAAGAACCUUACCAAGGCUUGACAUCCUGCGAAUCUCUAAGAAAUUAGAGAGUGCCUUCGGGAACGCAGUGACAGGUGGUGCAUGGCUGUCGUCAGCUCGUGUCGUGAGAUGUUGGGUUAAGUCCCGCAACGAGCGCAACCCACGUUUUUAGUUGCCAGCAUUCAGUUGGGCACUCUAGAAAGACUGCCGGUGACAAACCGGAGGAAGGUGUGGACGACGUCAAGUCAUCAUGCCCCUUACGCCUUGGGCUACACACGUACUACAAUGCUGCGGACAAAGAGUAGCGAUCUUGCGAAAGUUAGCUAAUCUCAUAAACCGUGGCUCAGUUCAGAUCGUAGGCUGCAACUCGCCUACGUGAAGGAGGAAUCGCUAGUAAUCGCAGGUCAGCAUACUGCGGUGAAUACGUUCCCGGGCCUUGUACACACCGCCCGUCACACCAUGGAAGUUGGCCAUGCCCGAAGUCGUUACUCUAACCUUUUGGAAGAGGGCGCCGAAGGCAGGGCUAAUGACUGGGGUGAAGUCGUAACAAGGUAACC
rnacentral:rRNA from 1 species